rnacentral:rRNA from 1 species
GACGAAGGAUCCAAGCGUUAUCCGGAUUCAUUGGGUUUAAAGGGAGCGUAGGCGGGUUUAUAAGUCAGUGGUGAAAGCCGAUCGCUUAACGAUCGAACUGCCAUUGAUACUGUAGACCUAGAGUACAGAUGAUGUUGGCGGAAUAUGACAUGUAGCGGUGAAAUUCGUAGAUAUUGGGAAGAACACCGGUGGCGAAGGCGGCCAUCUGGACCGCAACUGACGCUGAGGCGCGAAAGCGUGGGGAGCAAACAGG